GCGUUGUUCUUAACCGCUCCUUAACGAUUCCAAAGUAUGAAUCGGAUCAUCCAGUUUCUCUGGAUGUCGAGUGGCUCCUGCCCACUCUGUUUGACGCCUCCCUGUUGACCUUCGAGCCGCCUUCGGGGCGGCUCUUUUUUG
rnacentral:sRNA from 1 species